UACGGAGGGUGCAAGCGUUAUCCGGAUUCACUGGGUUUAAAGGGUGCGUAGGUGGGCAGUUAAGUCAGUGGUGAAAUCUCCGGGCUCAACCCGGAAACUGCCAUUGAUACUAUCUGUCUUGAGUAUCGUGGAGGUAAGCGGAAUAUGUCAUGUAGCGGUGAAAUGCUUAGAUAUGACAUAGAACACCAAUUGCGAAGGCAGCUUACUACCCGAAUAUUGACACUGAGGCACGAAAGCGUGGGGAUCAAACAGG
rnacentral:rRNA from 1 species